rnacentral:lncRNA from 1 species
UCCUUCAGGCGACGCGAACAAAAGAAGCGAUCGAUUUCUUGAAAAAUCGAUCGACCAGUAUUAAAAAAAAAGUUGGACAGCCUCGACCAGUUGCGGAAAUUAAAAAAAGAGCUCGACCAACUACCCCUCUUCUUCUCCAGUGACGGAAAUUAGGGUUUCCAUCGGUGAAGACGACCGGCGACCGACGACGACGACAAAACCCAGGUAUGUUUUCUUCUCCUUUGUUCUUGUUUUUUCUUUCUCCUUCAUCUUCUUCUUCCAUCUUCUUCUUUCUCUCUGUCGACGUCGGCGACGAGGAUUCCCGUUGUUUUUUCAUUUUUUUUUCAUCUACGAUCAGCAUCGACGUCGGCGACUCUGUCUCUGUUUCACUAUUUUGUUUUUCAUUUGUUUUUGGCCUAGUUCUUUUCAAUUUUUUUUAAAGUUACUGUAGCACAUAUAUAUAU